UACGUAGGGUGCAAGCGUUACUCGGAAUUACUGGGCGUAAAGCGUGCGCAGGCGGUUAUGUAAGACCGAUGUGAAAUGCCCGGGCUUAACCUGGGAACUGCAUUUGUGACUGCAUGGCUAGAAUCUGGCAGAGGGGGGUAGAAUUCCACGUGUAGCAGUGAAAUGCGUAGAUAUGUGGAGGAACACCGAUGGCGAAGGCAGCCCCCUGGGUCAAGAUUGACGCUCAUGCACGAAAGCGUGGGGAGCAAACAGG
rnacentral:rRNA from 1 species